UAAUUGAUCUUUUCUUCCUAACUCUCUCUCUUUCUCUCUGGUUCUAAUGUCAAAAAUCCUAGCAUCUCCUAGUGUCUCCAUCGUUUGCUUCCACAUUUCUUCUUCAAUUUUUGGAUUAACACCAGGUCCACGCAAGGUGAUCCUCAUCUGGUACAAGAGUUGCACUGGAGGUUCAAUAAUUUGGUUUCAGAGCAGUGCAGUAGGUUGAGCAGCGUAGUAGGUUGGGCAUGG
rnacentral:lncRNA from 1 species